rnacentral:lncRNA from 1 species
ACAUGAGCAAUAUCCAAACCUUUCCCCACCGGCAGAAAAACUGACCGUACAAUUCUUGAUUUUCCGUCAAGUACACUCCGCCACCGGAAAUCAGAUUCAACCCUUGAACUUGCAUUCUUACAUAUCAAAACUGCUCCCCUAUGACCCAACUUCGCCACCCUCAAAAUUCUACCCCUUGAACUUGCAUUCUUACAUAUCAAAACAGCUCCCCUAUGACCCAACUUCGCCACCCUCAAAAUUCUACCAAAAUCAUUUCUCCUACAAUCCACCACCAAAAAAUCAAUCCCCAUUAACCCUUCCAUUGCUUCUUCCGGUUCUCCGA